AAGAGUUUGAUCCUGGCUCAGGUUGAACGCUGGCGGCAGGCCUAACACAUGCAAGUCGAGCGGAUGAGAGGAGCUUGCUCCUUGAUUUAGCGGCGGACGGGUGAGUAAUGCCUAGGAAUCUGCCUGGUAGUGGGGGAUAACGUCCGGAAACGGGCGCUAAUACCGCAUACGUCCUACGGGAGAAAGCAGGGGACCUUCGGGCCUUGCGCUAUCAGAUGAGCCUAGGUCGGAUUAGCUAGUUGGUGAGGUAAUGGCUCACCAAGGCGACGAUCCGUAACUGGUCUGAGAGGAUGAUCAGUCACACUGGAACUGAGACACGGUCCAGACUCCUACGGGAGGCAGCAGUGGGGAAUAUUGGACAAUGGGCGAAAGCCUGAUCCAGCCAUGCCGCGUGU
rnacentral:rRNA from 1 species